ACCCAGUCAGUUUACACCUAAGGGCUCGGAAGAGCUACCACUUGCCCAUGCUGGCCUUGGAAAGAGGAUGCUAAAUCUACCAGACAACUUAUUGCACAGUGAGACUAUGGCUUCGGUUGAGGAAGAAUUUCCAAAACUGAAAACAUUAAAAGGAGGCUGGAUGUUUUUCAAGUCAGCAGGUGGUAGUGGACGUCGAAAGCUGUCCAUAAUUCCUACUGACUCCGAGGGGUACUCCACAAGGCUCCUCAAAACAGCGUCCAACAACGGAAAAAAACAUUGUGUUUGUAAUUCCACUACAGGAGCAACUUUCUACCGAACCUCUACCCUAUGACUCGGCAGAGUUUGCAAAGAUGCCACAGUCAACCUGCAUAACAUGUGGCAGUCAAAUGCCUUUGCAGCUGUUGCCUUUACAUGUGGAGGAAUGUAAUGACAUAUUGACUGAGAGUGAAUCUGGGACUUCUCUUGAUGAAGUGAUUGAGCAGCCAAAUCCA